GUAGCUCAGUUGGUGAGAGCACGCGUCUCAUAAGCGCGGGGUCGGCGGUUCGAGUCCGCCC
rnacentral:tRNA from 1 species